UUUAUAGAAACAAGGAAAAUUCAAUAAAAAGCCGGCCUCAGUUCGCGGACAAUCGUGCGCCGGAGAGGUAGAGCAGUGGCUCUCCUAUACUGUUAUACCUCCGGCGCCGGCGGCCGGUGGGGAAGGAAAAGACGCCUGGAUAACUGUCGCCGUCUCCGAGUUAAGGCCGUGUGGCUGCUGAGUUUGUCUCUUCUCGGCUCUGGCGAUCUCUCACGUGCAGGACAGCUACUUGGGUCCCUGCAGCAGCUGUGUUAUUGCUAAUCGAAGCGAAGGAGGAAGACAGCCAGAACGAGAAAUCUUUGGACUUCAAUAUGCUGCUGAAGGCGAUACUUGACAAGGUUUUCAGUUUCUAAAAUUGAAGCUCAGUUCAGAGUUGAAAUUUUGGGCUGAACUAACACAGGUGAGCAAGAGUCCUUUCUAUCCUAUAAUAUGGAUGAUUAAGGUAAAAGAGAAUAUGACCACACCAAUUGUAGAAAAAGCAGUGAGUUGAUAUUGCGUUGGAUAUUUGAUUAAAUGGAGUUCAGUUUUAGCAGUGAAGUCAAUCAGAAGCAGAACUAAUGUUGGUUCCAGUCUGCCUUAAUGUAAAAUAUUUCUGUCGAGGUGUGUCACGAGUGAUUUGAUAUCAGAAAGAUUCAUCAUAAUGCCAUGGAGUUACGCUGCUGCCUUUGUUAAAGUCUCUACUGAGGUUUUCUCUAAUCAAGUUGCUGCUGUAAAAACCUAUACUUGCAGUACUUUGAGAAACAAUGCUGCUUAAGCAAUUCAUUGGAAAUUAGGAUUGUUGUGUUGCCUGGUAAGCCCCAGUUUUCUACUGAUUAGCGGGUGCAAUUCCAAUUCUCAUGCAAUACAUGGACAAUCUUCCUUUAGCGGAUACACCAAAUUCGGUUUGAUUGUUAGUUUCUAAGCUACUUGGAGCCAGUUAUUGUUGAUAUGGGAUUAUUUUCAUCUCUAGUUUUCGAGUAUGGUAAGUAAUUUGGUUUAUCAAGAAUGCCCAGGAAAAGCACUUGGAAUUGUUGAUUCAUUGCCUGAGAUGGCUGUUCAAUUCCUUCCAAGCCAUAGGCUCUUUCCCUCUUACUAGAGCUCAACAAUUACUUUCUUCAAGGGGGUAGGCUCAGUUAACCUUUGCAUGCCGAAUCUUAUUACUUGAGGGAGAAGAAACUCUACCCCGGAGACAAGUGCAACUGCAACCUCUGCUGGAAUAGUGCCAGCUGCAGAUGGAAAAUCAUGCAGUACCCUGUGGUGCUAUUGAUGUGUGAGCUUUUCAACGUCAUCGAAGAGUUCUGACUCUCAUCAAUCAAUAAUUCUGCCUCCUGACUGGUUUUCGACACUUGCUAUACUAGUUGGUUCAUCGUGCCUGCCCAUCAGACUUGACUCUUACACCGAGAAUGACGCGUCGAUGAGGCCCAAAUGUGACAACCGUUGAUGGCAAUAAAUUUGGGCUGAGCAGAGGCCCAUAGAGGGUGCUUCAGACAGUACUAGUAGCGCCCGGACACACUAUCCAGGCACAGCAAAUUAUUCAUUUCUCAAGUCCCGGAUAGAAAAGAAAGAGUACGUGUUAAGACUUGUCGCAGCGGAGACAUUGAACAAGAUUGGUUCAACAAGCCCAACUAAAACCACAACCCAUGAGCGAGUGAUUGGACCCGACGCCAACAGGGCCCAGAGAAAAUAUUGUUUCUCUGUUUUUCUGCAGGUUCUAUCAACCAUAGCUCGUACAUAGUUUUCUGGCGGUGCAAUUCACGCUGAGACGUAAAAGGAUCUCGAAGUCGUGCAGCUGUGAAGUAAAUGCAGAGGACAGACGAACUGUGCAGAAUAUAUAGUAAUAAGCAUAUAAUCUUUGCAUAUGUGGAGUCGCUGUGGUUAUUUUGCUUGUCCAUGUCGAUAUCGAUCGCUUUGUUAUUUUAGUAUUGCUUCCUUCGGUUACAUUUUUUGACAUGACGAUCGAUCGAUUCCUUAAUUCCCUU